rnacentral:rRNA from 1 species
UCAUUACAUUGCAGUCGCGUAGCUACUUGUUUACACCCUUGUUUUUUUGCGUACCUAUUGUUUCCUCGGUGGGCUUGCCUGCCGGUUGGACAAACCUUAUAACCUUUUUCAAUCUUCAAUCAGCGUCUGAAUUAUACAUAAUCAUUACAACUUUCAACAACGGAUCUCUUGGUUCUGGCAUCGAUGAAGAACGCAGCGAAAUGCGAUAAGUAGUGUGAAUUGCAGAAUUCAGUGAAUCAUCGAUCUUUGAACGCACAUUGCGCCCCUUGGUAUUCCAUGGGGCAUGCCUGUUCGAGCGUCAUUUGUACCCUCAAGCAUUGCUUGGUGUUGGGCGUUUUGUCUUUUUUUCUUUGCAAAAUAGACUCGCCUCAAAGUAAUUGGCAGCCAGUGUUUUUGGUAGUAAGCGCAGCACAUUUUGCGUCUUCGUCUUCAAACAGCGGCAUCCACGAAGCCUCUUUCUCACUUUUGACCUCGGAACAGGUAGGGAUACCCGCUGAACUUAAGCAUAUCAAUAAGCGGAGGA